rnacentral:rRNA from 1 species
GACGUAGGGAGCAAGCGUUGUCCGGAUUUACUGGGCGUAAAGGGCGCGUAGGCGGCUUGUUAAGUGUGAAGUGAAAUCUCCAGUGCUCAACACGGAAACUGCUUCGCAUACUGGCAAGCUUGAGGGAUGAAGAGGUAAGUGGAAUUCCUGGUGUAGCGGUGAAAUGCGUAGAUAUCAGGAGGAACACCCAUGGCGAAGGCAGCUUACUGGUCAUCUCCUGACGCUGAGGCGCGAAAGCGUGGGGAGCGAACCGG